rnacentral:sRNA from 1 species
CGAUAGCGGCAAGAUGGCGGACCGUGGCGGCUUGAGUGAAGCCGCGGCUACUGGAGCGUCUCCUGCAUCUGUCCCUGGCCUAAACCCGACGCUAGGCUGGAGGGAGCGACUGCGGGCCGGGCUGGCGGGGACUGGGGCCUCGUUGUGGUUCGUGGCGGGGCUGGGGCUGCUUUACGCUCUGAGGAUCCCUUUGAGGCUGUGUGAGAAUUUGGCAGCGGCGACUGUAUUUUUAAAUUCAUUGACACCCAAAUUCUAUGUGGCACUUACAGGGACAUCUUCACUGAUAUCAGGACUAAUAUUUAUAUUUGAAUGGUGGUACUUCCAUAAGCAUGGCACAUCUUUUAUUGAGCAAGUAUCUGUAAGCCAUUUGCAACCACUGAUGGGAGGAACAGAGAGCAGCAUUUCAGAACCAGGUUCUCCUUCGAGGAACAGAGAAAGUGAAACCAGCAGACAGAAUUUGUCAGAUGGAGUUUCACUCUUGUUGCCCAGGCUGGAGUGCAAUGGCACGAUCUUGGCUCACUGCAACCUCCACCUCGCAGGUUCAAGCGAUUCUCCUGCUCCAGCCUCCCGAGUAGCUGGGAUUACAGGCACCUGCCACCAUGCCAGAGUAAUUUUUGUAUUUUUAGUAGAGAUGGGUUUUCGCCAUGUUGGCCAGACUGGUCUCAAACCCCUGACCUCAGAUGAUUCAUCCACCUCGGCCUCCCAAAGUGCUAGGAUUACAGGCAUAAGCCACCAGGCCCGGCCCGUUCUGUCUUCUUUUCUUUCAACAUCCAUAGCACCAUAUCUAGGCCCUUAAACAUCUCUUCCCUGGGCUAUUGCUA